GCUCAGUAGCUCAGUUGGUUGAGCAUGGGACAUUAGAUCUCAGGAUUGUGGGUUUGAGCCCCACACUGGGCA